ensembl:rRNA 5S_rRNA 5S ribosomal RNA
CAUAUUAGCCAUAUCACCCUGCAACUCACAACUAGCAACCCACUGAAGCUCAGCAGGUGUGAGCCUGGUCAGUACCUGGAUGGGAGACCUCCUGGGAAAAAGCAAGGUUGCUGCUGGAA